rnacentral:rRNA from 1 species
AUACGAAGGGGGCUAGCGUUGUUCGGAAUUACUGGGCGUAAAGCGCACGUAGGCGGAUCGUUUAGUCGGGGGUGAAAUCCCGGGGCUUAACCCCGGAACUGCCUCCGAUACUGGCGAUCUUGAGUCCGAGAGAGGUGAGUGGAACUCCGAGUGUAGAGGUGAAAUUCGUAGAUAUUCGGAAGAACACCAGUGGCGAAGGCGGCUCACUGGCUCGGUACUGACGCUGAGGUGCGAAAGCGUGGGGAGCAAACAGGAUUAGAUACCCCGGUAGUCC